rnacentral:rRNA from 1 species
UGGCGGACGGGUGAGUAAUAUAUCGGAACGUGCCUUGUAAUGGGGGAUAACUAGUCGAAAGAUUAGCUAAUACCGCAUACGCCCUGAGAGGAGAAAGUAGGGGAUCUUCGGACCUUACGUUAUAAGAGCGGCCGAUAUCUGAUUAGCUAGUUGGUGGGGUAAUGGCCUACCAAGGCUUCGAUCAGUAGCUGGUCUGAGAGGACGACCAGCCACACUGGAACUGAGACACGGUCCAGACUCCUACGGGAGGCAGCAGUGGGGAAUUUUGGACAAUGGGCGCAAGCCUGAUCCAGCCAUUCCGCGUGAGUGAAGAAGGCCUUCGGGUUGUAAAGCUCUUUCGCAAGGGAAGAAAACUUACUUUCUAAUAAAGAGUGAGGCUGACGGUACCUUGAUAAGAAGCACCGGCUAACUACGUGCCAGCAGCCGCGGUAAUACGUAGGGUGCGAGCGUCAAUCGGAAUUACUGGGCGUAAAGCGUGCGCAGGCGGUUUGGCAAGUCAGAUGUGAAAUCCCCGAGCUCAACUUGGGAACUGCGUUUGAAACUGCCAGACUAGAAUAUGUCAGAGGGGGGUAGAAUUCCACGUGUAGCAGUGAAAUGCGUAGAGAUGUGGAGGAAUACCAAUGGCGAAGGCAGCCCCCUGGGAUAAUAUUGACGCUCAUGCACGAAAGCGUGGGGAGCAAACAGGAUUAGAUACCCUGGUAGUCCACGCCCUAAACGAUGUCUAUUAGUUGUUGGUGGAGUAAAAUCCAUGAGUAACGCAGCUAACGCGUGAAGUAGACC